CAAGUACUCCCUCCGUCUGGAAUUACUUGUCAUCAAAAUGGAUGUGUCUAGAACUAAAAUACAUCUAGAUACAGCCAUUUCAAUGACAAGUAUUUUCGGACGGAGGGAGUACAAG
rfam:Triticum aestivum genome assembly, contig: Triticum_aestivum_CS42_TGACv1_scaffold_444011_5DL